UGGAGCUUACUUAUGUCAAUUCACUGGUUUCCUUACCUAAGACAAUCCUUGUUUACAAAUAAAACAGAGAACUAACAGGUCUCCACUCUUUCCUUCCUUACAAAAGACAAAAGAUCUGGACAAAAAAAGGGAAGACUGCACCCAUGGCCUCAGUCUGGGGGAGAAGACAGUUUGUAGCUUCAGUCUCGAACCAAACCACUUGAGCUUUAAAUGAAAAAAAAAUUGUUUUGAGGGCUAAAAUGGGAUACAAAUUAACAUUAAAUUUCCAAAGAGGGUACAUUUUGUCCUGGAAAUUGAGGAGCUACACUUGGACCUCAGUAAGAAUGAUCGAUUCUCUCCUUAAAGUAGUAUGUGACAGAAGAUCUACCUGCUUUGGAGAUGAGGAAACUGUCUCUGAUAAGAAGUAUGCUCAGAGUCAUAGCCAGUGCCUCAGAUUUGGGCCAUCUUGACCCUGCAUCCAAUACUCCAUCCACUGGGCCACCUAGAUGCCUACAGUAGAGAUGACUAUCAGCUACCGCCUGAUUGUGGUUGUCCUAGGCGACAUCACCAAUUCACUAUAACAGAAAUUUUCCAAGACUGAGUUUUCUCAGAAUGCCAGCAGUCAGAGAGGGAAGAUAUUGUUUUCAACUGAAACCCUCUAGAUUCUUUCAUGGAAGAAACCAGGAAGUACUGAGGCAUACAAUAAUGGAAAGAUAUUUGGUUGAGCUCCAUAAAAACCUCCCCUUACAUUUGCUUUUUUUUGUUCAACUUCUUAUUGAAUUUAGCAGCUUUUCUUGACUACUUUGAAAAAACAAACUGAUAUUUAACAGCUGCUACAUUUACCCAGCAACUUUACCCAGAUAGACUGUGCUUUUGGCAAGCACAAAACCUCUGCAUCAGCCUGGUGAAAAGUCCAGUGUUAUCAUCAUUUUCCAAAAGGCUGAACCAAUGCAUAAAGAUGAAGUAAAUCAAAUGGAAGUUUGCACAAAAGUGCAUCAUCAAAGUAGGAUUUAAAGCUACAGAAUUUGGGUUCCCAUUGUUAUUUGUCUGGAAAUGUCAUAGAAAGCAGCCAUUUGUUCAAGUCCUUACAACUACUAUCCACAAAACCAAAUCUCCUGACUAAAGAUCUAUGACAGGGUUAAUCACCCAGGAAAUAAUGCCUCCAUUUCCUCAUCUAUUAAGUGAAGGGGUUUGAACUAGAUGAGCUCUAAGGAACCUUUCAUCCCUUUGAUCCUACAAUUCAAAUAUAAACUAAUGAAUCCAUCUUCUGGUGACAAGUAUCUCCGAAGUAAGCCAGGUUGAAUUUCAGAUGUCAGGUUGCUGAGCUAAUACUUGAAGUCUGUUUUGCACUUUGCUGGUAUAACUUUAAUAAAGGAAGGAAAAGCUA